rnacentral:lncRNA from 1 species
UUUUUUUUUCUUUUUAGGUAUAUACUAAGUUAAUGCUAUCCAGCCAGCGUGGAGUGUCGGCCGUCCAGGAGGGGAGGCGCGACAGUAGAUGCGCGCGCAGAUGCCCUCGGCCGGCCGUGGACCAACCACGAGCGGUGGACCAACGGGCUGCGCCGGCGUUCAUCACGCGAUGCGCGGGAACAGAUAUGAGCCACACACACUGCAACGUUUGUCACAUCUGCAUACUUUUUCAACAACAUUGCGAUGCAUUAAUACGGUAAGUAAACGAAACAUCAUCUAAAGGGCG